rnacentral:rRNA from 1 species
GACGUAGGGGGCGAGCGUUGUCCGGAUUUAUUGGGCGUAAAGCGUGCGUAGGCGGCUGCGCAAGUCGGUUGUGAAACCCCGGGGCUCAACCCCGGAACUGCAUCCGAUACUGCGUGGCUAGAGGUAGGUAGGGGAGAUCGGAAUUCCUGGUGUAGCGGUGAAAUGCGCAGAUAUCAGGAGGAACACCGGUGGCGAAGGCGGGUCUCUGGGCCGAUACUGACGCUGAGGAGCGAAAGCGUGGGGAGCGAACAGG